UUCUUUGUGAUAAUACCUACCACAAAAUUCAAGAAAUAGUUUCGUUUUGUAGGUAUACAACCUAGCUAAAUAUUUAUGCUCUCCCAGCCAUAGUCGAUGGUAAUGUCUGAUGGUGUUCAAAUUGUCAGUUUAAAUUCAAGUAACAAUGUUUCUUUAUAUAGUUUCAUUUUGUAGUUGUGAUGAGCCAGAACUCAAAUCUAAUUUCAACGACGACACGUUUCCCAGUUCUGAUCAAAUUUGGGGAAUGAUAGGAACUAUAUUAGCAACAGUCGCGUGUUGGGUUGUGUAUACAAAGAUAAGGGUCGGCAGAAAAAGGUAUCAAGAUCAUCACAAUAUCAUGCCUUGCAAACCAAGGGUCACCCGCAGAGGACACAUGUCAUAAUAAGCAUAUAAAUUAAACCAUUUAGUACUCUAUAGAAAUAUAUCUUUAUUCCUAAAAAUAA